CUCAUCCCCCUUUGCAUGGCUCAGACAAGGCUCCUUGCCCCUGGGUGAGAAUCUCAGUUGGAGGAAUAAAGAAUCCCUUCUGUAGCUUUGUGGGGAAGGAUUAGUGAGAAGUUCAACCAUGGCUCUCUUUAGACAAAUGAUGAAAAACCUGGUUAUCUCAGCAGCACCUUCCCACCUGUUCCCAGGAGGCCAGGCGUGUGAUGCCAGGAGGCACGAAUGAAGAAUGAAGACCUCACAGACCUCUUGUGACAGCCGUGCAUUCAUUCCCCACUCGGUUGCACGGCACCAUCAGGGCUUCAGCCUUCCGAGAUGUCGCUUCUAGCAAAACAGCAAAAGUCUGAACUUCAAGUCACCUUGACAGCGUAGGAUGAAAAGAGUUUAUUCCCCACAAGUCCAAGAUUUAUACUGGAGUCAAGAAGAAAUAAGGGGGAAGAGUGUCAGCAGUAAUGGUUCGUGGAGCCAAUUUGGGCAGCAGUAAUGCACGUUGGAGGCAGCAAGAAAAGUGGCACAAAGUUCCGGAUCUGGAGCUGACAGGUUUCCUCAGCCCUGAGUUGUCUAAAGCUGACUUUGCAGCGUGACCUGAGCUGUAGGUGCUCUCACAGAAGGUGAGCUCUGCUGGACACCAGCCUCAGCACCAUGGCUCUUGGAAGAUGAGAGUCUUCUUACAGCAUCACUUGGUCCUUUUGGUGGCUCAGUCACACUUCCCGCAGGAGAGGGCCAGCCUGGCUGAGCCUGUAUUUCUUCCUCCCUCAUGGAGUCCUCCUGCUCCGCUCUGGCUCCCGGAGUCCACAGACCUCUGCAUCUCCCUCCAGCAGCCCACCUCUCGUGUGCCAGGCAACGCCUUGGUUUUAACCUUACAACCUGGUUCUAACCGAGAAGUGUUAAUAACCACAGCUACUUAUAACUCACGCACCACAAGCACUUCAGAUUCAUAGCUCAUUUAAUUUGCCCACACCUGGAGAUGUCUGCAUAUGAUCCCCAGUUUGAGAAAGUCGGCAACGAGCAGCACAGUUUGACCUGGGUCUUAACUCAGCCCACUCUGUAACUGUGGAGAACACUACUUUUGAGAACAACCAAGAUCCCCUGGUUUCAUUUCUAUGAGUUCUUUGCACGUGGAGGGAAUCAGCCCUCUGAUGUGUAUGUUACAAGUAUAUCUCCUAGUUCUUUAGGAAGACAUCUCUUCUGCCCUUAGAUAAGGGGUAGCUUUUUCCCUCUCUUGGCUGUGUGAAUAUUGUUCCCCUUGGUGUAGAAGAAGGAAUUCCUGUGUGGCAUUUGCUAGCAGGAUAUUUAGCUUUUUCAUCCAGCACCGACCUGAGUGAUUUAGCACCCUGUGCCUGUUUUCAUACGAAACACACCUUUUUCACAUGAACCAGAGAGGGAAUUCUUGAUGAUCUUCCAUGUUUUCAACAUUUCAGACAAGGUUCUCAGCUGAGAUUCCGUCUUGCUUCCCUUCCUGGGGCUGAGGGUCCAUAUGGGGGCAGAGGCUGGAGAGAGUGAAGGACACACGGCUGGAGGGUGAGGCACUGGCCAUCACACACCUGCCCGGAGCCUCACCUGUCUUGUUUUCCUCCACACCCCCUUAGUGGCUGGGCACAGGCCAAGGUAAAAACCCACAGGGAUGGAGAUAAGGAAGAUCUGGGAAUGCUGCACAGCCUGGGCCCUGCCUGGCAGAGGCCUGGGGCAUUUGCCCAUCACUUUUAUAACUCCAGAGCCUUGUUUCCUGAGUGACCCCCUUACCCUGCCUGAAGUCAUCCCUGUAGCAACAGCUCCCAGAGCUGCCGGGUGCAUCUGACUCCGGCCAGCGACAGGAUCUCAAACGUCCUGAAGUAGAGAUGACUGAGGAUUGGGCGCAGAAAUGGAGAUGGUGUGUCCUAAACAGCCUUCGGUUUUGGCUGAGUUUCACUCCCUGGCUGGUCACCUGGCCUUUGUAGGAUGCUGAGGUGGGGGCCUCUGACCCCCCUCUCGUUCUUUCCCUCUCCUCACCAUCUCCAGGUGCCCCUUUCUCGCCGCUGCCCUGGCCAGCGUGGCCUGGCUUCUCUACUGCUGUCUUCACCUGGGGCAGAUGAACCCAUGGUUCGCCGGCUUUUGACUCCACUUGGCCGCUCAGAUCAGGGCACAUCUGCGGGCCUCCUGGCACAGAGGAAGGAGUCGGCAUCAUUGUCCUGGCAUGGCCACAUCCUGCCGACAUCCCAAGUAUGUGCAUGCUGCCUCUGGCUGUGAGCUUCUCCAUGGUCAGUAUCCAGAGGAGAGCACGUUUGUGUUGCCCCACAAAUUCUAGGUAUUCUCAUGGCAAGUCCUGAAUUAGCAUAAUGCUACCUGGCUCCCAAAAGUUCUUUAGUUUCUUGCAAUUCUGUGUUAAAACAGCCAGUUAAGGCAUUUUUGGAGGUUAGCGUCAUCAAGCCUAUUGGCGUGUUCUGUAAGAGCUUGAAUCAUGUGAGCUGUUUGGCAGCUCUCGUCAGCUGUUGGCAUCAAGAUUUCCCUUUAAUACAGACACCACAGAGUUAAUGGUUAUCAUCUGAUCUGAAAUGGCUCCAGUAAGUCCUUCUCCCUCAUCAGACUCCUGCUGAGGCACACAGGCACCCUCCCCAGUGUCUCCUCUCUGUUCUCCUGCAGAGGAGAAAGUGCUGCCAGCCUUCCCUGUUUCCGCCACAGAUGAUCCUCCCUGACACAGGCUGCUUCUGUCUGCAGCAACCGGAGAAGGCACACCAGGCUUGGGGGGGAGGAAUUGUCCUGUGGCUUCAGUCACUGAACAGCCAGAGGAGAUGGUGCCCCUGGUUGCAGACAGCCCUAGGUCUGGCAGGAGCAGUGCAGCCAGUCAAGGCCCUGUCAAGCCCUUCGCGCUGCUUCCUGGUUUAUUGACACCACAUGUCUGGCACGUGGAGGACGUCAGGCCGGUGCCAUCUUCCACACUGCUGGGUGCCUCCCCCUGUGGCGGCAGAAAGACCCCCAUUCCCAGAGGGGUGUGCACCCUCCAUGGCCUCCCUCAUGUCAUGCAGAGGGCUGUGCUGGACUGGUCCCUCAGGGCCCCGAGACACUCAGCCUUCUUUCUUGGUACUCUCCUGCCCCUUCCCUAUCCUUCAUCCUCCUUCUUCGGUACAUCUGUCAGUUACAGAGGAAGACUGCUGUGUCGAGUGCCUAAGAGUGGGUCCCUGGUGUAUUUCAAAUCUCAGUGAGGGCUGGGCAUGGUGGCUAUGUCUGUAAUCUCGGCACUUUCGGAGUCUGAGACAGGAGGAUCACCUGAGACCAGGAGCUUGAGACCAGCCUGAGCAACAUAGUGGGAUCUCCUCUCUACAGAAACGUAAAAGUUAGCCAGAUGUGGUAGUACACACCUGUAGCCCCAGCAACUCAGGAGGCUGACGUGGGAGGAUUGCUUGAGGCCAGGCAGUCAAGACUGCGAUGAGCCAUGAUUGUGCCACUGUACUCCAGCUUGAGUGACAGAGCGAGACCCUGUCUCUUUAAAAAAACAAACAACACAUCAGUGGGGGAUGGUAGGAAGGGUGUCUCAGGAGCCCACAGGCCCCCUGCCCGCAGCCUGUCCCCAGGUGGGAGGCAUGUCCUCCUGUGAUUCGCUGUCUUCAAGCCUUCAAGCACUUUCUCCUUUGCUUUAUUUUGUUUAAAUAAAAAUUGCCCCUUAGGUGAAUGAAGAGUGUCAUGGUCCACUAGGCACCUGGUAAAAAUGCAAAACCAGUAGUGAAGGCCUCAAAGAAAUAAUGCAUCUGGGAGGACCGUUAGUGAAGCUCUGGUUGUGGCCCGCUACGAUGUCCUUGGCAGUUCUUAAGAUUAAAUUAUCAUUACGUAUUCUUUGAAGUAAAAGAGUUUCUUUCCUGAGUACCUUUGCCAUCAGGGCCUGGCAGUUCUCUCUGCUCCUGUGGCUGCGAUGCACGUGCUGUCUUGGGAGGGCUCUCAGCCGCUGCACACCUGGCCCUGCCUUCCACCUGCAGGACAGCCGUUGGUGCUUGAGGACCAGGCGACACGGUCGUGGGUGAUCCGCAGCUCUUUCAAGGAUACUCUGUAAUCCGUGUUAUUUUCCUUUUCUGAAAAUGCUAAGUGGACUCAUGGUUACUUUCAGCUCAGAGUCAUUUUUCCAGGUAUUUUGCAGGUUUGAGAAAUGUGGCUUCAUCUGCCUUCUCGGUGGCCCUCCCUUCGGGUUCAGUUUCCUCUGUUGCUGGGCUGCUCUUUCUGCAGCUUGUGUCUUUGCCAUUGGAUGAUGCUCAGAAUCAACUUUCCCAGACAGCUGCUGGGCUCGUGACCUCGUGUGAAUUGGUAAAGGGGAAAACUGGACAGCAAACACAUCUAGGAAUAUUUUCUCUUUC